rnacentral:lncRNA from 1 species
ACGGUGUGUUGAUGGGGACUUGACUCUUUCUACAACUUAUUCAUUACUAUUUUCAGGACCUUCUCAAUGACCUGGCUGCUUGCGUGUUCCUUGGAGGUGGCGCAUUCUUUGCUUCGAGGAAAGUAGAAAAGCCAUUUAACUACUUUGUCGCUAUGAUCCUUAUGGCUGUGGCUGCAUUUCUUUGUUUCAUUGAUGUAUGUCUUCAAAGAAGACACUUCAAAGGCAAGAAGCCCAAAAAGAAUGUACCAGGAGCCCCGGGAGCCCCGGGAGCGGGAGCCCCGGGAGCGGCAGCCAAGUAACCACCAGCAGGAAAGAAGUAACUCAAAUGCAA